rnacentral:rRNA from 1 species
UACGUAGGGUGCGAGCGUUAAUCGGAAUUACUGGGCGUAAAGUGUGCGCAGGCCGCCGAGCAAGUCGAGUGUGAAAGCCCCGAGCUUAACUUGGGAACUGCGCUCGAAACUACUUGGCUAGAGUGUGGCAGAGGGAGGUGGAAUUCCACGUGUAGCGGUGAAAUGCGUAGAGAUGUGGAGGAACACCGAUGGCGAAGGCAGCCUCCUGGGCCAACACUGACGCUCAUGCACGAAAGCGUGGGGAGCAAACAGG